UCCAACGGUUUUGUCUUAGUUUCGUCAUUCUAAAUCCAACGAGACCAUCCGCAAGGUUGUAGCUUUUACGAUAGCCGAGAUAUGGCAUUUUUGAUGCCCAUUUUUGGCCUCAAAAACGGACGUCGAAAACGACUUUUUCAGGAUUUUCAAAGUGCUCUCAUUCCCUUAGUUCUGCUCGGAUCCUGUUAUAACCCGAUGUUUUCGUAAUCUAAAUGAUCAGAAUAAGACGCUGGUAUACUUAGUUUGAUUUCGAAAAAAAUCAAUUUUUGGUGAAAAAAUUCGAUACGGGGGGAUAUACCCGAAAAAUGAAAAAUUCCAAACUUUGAAGGUCGAUAUCUUGGCUUCUAUAGGAGCUAUCGGGAAAAUUCCAACGGUUUUGUCUUAGUUUCGUCAUUCUAAAUCCAACGAGACCAUCCGCAAGGUUGUAGCUUUUACGAUAGCCGAGAUAUGGCAUUUUUGAUGCCCAUUUUUGGCCUCAAAAACGGACGUCGAAAACGACUUUUUCAGGAUUUUCAAAGUGCUCUCAUUCCCUUAGUUCUGCUCGGAUCCUGUUAUAACCCGGUGUUUUCGUAAUCUAGAUGAUCAGAAUAAGACGCUGGUAUACUUAGUUUGAUUUCGAAAAAAAUCAAUUUUUGGUGAAAAAAUUCGAUACGGGGGGAUAUACCCGAAAAAUGAAAAAUUCCAAACUUUGAAGGUCGAUAUCUCGGCUUCUAUAGGAGCUAUCGGGAAAAUUCCAACGGUUUUGUCUUAGUUUCGUCAUUCUAAAUCCAACGAGACCAUCCGCAAGGUUGUAGCUUUUACGAUAGCCGAGAUAUGGCAUUUUUGAUGCCCAUUUUUGGCCUCAAAAACGGACGUCGAAAACGACUUUUUCAGGAUUUUCAAAGUGCUCUCAUUCCCUUAGUUCUGCUCGGAUCCUGUUAUAACCCGGUGUUUUCGUAAUCUAAAUGAUCAGAAUAAGACGCUGGUAUACUUAGUUUGAUUUUGAAAAAAAUCAAUUUUUGGUGAAAAAAUUCGAUACGGGGGGGUAUACCCGAAAAAUGAAAAAGUCCAAACUUUGAAGGUCGAUAUCUCGGCUUCUAUGGGAGCUAUCGGGAAAAUUCCAACGGCUUUGUCUUAGUUUUGUCAUUCUAAAUCCAACGAGACCAUCCGCAAGGUUGUAGCUUUUACGAUAGCCGAGAUAUGGCAUUUUUGAUGCCCAUUUUUGGCCUCAAAAACGGACGUCGAAAACGACUUUUUCAGGAUUUUCAAAGUGCUCUUAUUCCCUUAGUUCUGCUCGGAUCCUGUUAUAACCCGAUGUUUUCGUAAUCUAAAUGAUCAGAAUAAGACGCUGGUAUACUUAGUUUGAUUUCGAAAAAAAUCUAUUUUUGGUGAAAAAAUUCGAUACGGGGGGGUAUACCCGAAAAAUUAAAAAUUCCAAACUUUGAAGGUCGAUAUCUCGGCUUCUAUAGGAGCUAUCGGGAAAAUUCCAACGGUUUUGUCUUAGUUUCGUCAUUCUAAAUCCAACGAGACCAUCCGCAAGGUUGUAGCUUUUACGAUAGCCGAGAUAUGGCAUUUUUGAUGCCCAUUUUUGGCCUCAAAAACGGACGUCGAAAACGACUUUUUCAGGAUUUUCAAAGUGCUCUCAUUCCCUUAGUUCUGCUCGGAUCCUGUUAUAACCCGGUGUUUUCGUAAUCUAAAUGAUCAGAAUAAGACGCUGGUAUACUUAGUUUGAUUUUGAAAAAAAUCAAUUUUUGGUGAAAAAAUUCGAUACGGGGGGGUAUACCCGAAAAAUGAAAAAGUCCAAACUUUGAAGGUCGAUAUCUCGGCUUCUAUGGGAGCUAUCGGGAAAAUUCCAACGGCUUUGUCUUAGUUUUGUCAUUCUAAAUCCAACGAGACCAUCCGCAAGGUUGUAGCUUUUACGAUAGCCGAGAUAUGGCAUUUUUGAUGCCCAUUUUUGGCCUCAAAAACGGACGUCGAAAACGACUUUUUCAGGAUUUUCAAAGUGCUCUCAUUCCCUUAGUUCUGCUCGGAUCCUGUUAUAACCCGGUGUUUUCGUAAUCUAAAUGAUCAGAAUAAGACGCUGGUAUACUUAGUUUGAUUUUGAAAAAAAUCAAUUUUUGGUGAAAAAAUUCGAUACGGGGGGGUAUACCCGAAAAAUGAAAAAGUCCAAACUUUGAAGGUCGAUAUCUCGGCUUCUAUGGGAGCUAUCGGGAAAAUUCCAACGGCUUUGUCUUAGUUUUGUCAUUCUAAAUCCAACGAGACCAUCCGCAAGGUUGUAGCUUUUACGAUAGCCGAGAUAUGGCAUUUUUGAUGCCCAUUUUUGGCCUCAAAAACGGACGUCGAAAACGACUUUUUCAGGAUUUUCAAAGUGCUCUUAUUCCCUUAGUUCUGCUCGGAUCCUGUUAUAACCCGAUGUUUUCGUAAUCUAAAUGAUCAGAAUAAGACGCUGGUAUACUUAGUUUGAUUUCGAAAAAAAUCUAUUUUUGGUGAAAAAAUUCGAUACGGGGGGGUAUACCCGAAAAAUUAAAAAUUCCAAACUUUGAAGGUCGAUAUCUCGGCUUCUAUAGGAGCUAUCGGGAAAAUUCCAACGGUUUUGUCUUAGUUUCGUCAUUCUAAAUCCAACGAGACCAUCCGCAAGGUUGUAGCUUUUACGAUAGCCGAGAUAUGGCAUUUUUGAUGCCCAUUUUUGGCCUCAAAAACGGACGUCGAAAACGACUUUUUCAGGAUUUUCAAAGUGCUCUCAUUCCCUUAGUUCUGCUCGGAUCCUGUUAUAACCCGGUGUUUUCGUAAUCUAAAUGAUCAGAAUAAGACGCUGGUAUACUUAGUUUGAUUUUGAAAAAAAUCAAUUUUUGGUGAAAAAAUUCGAUACGGGGGGGUAUACCCGAAAAAUGAAAAAGUCCAAACUUUGAAGGUCGAUAUCUCGGCUUCUAUAGGAGCUAUCGGGAAAAUUCCAACGGUUUUGUCUUAGUUUCGUCAUUCUAAAUCCAACGAGACCAUCCGCAAGGUUGUAGCUUUUACGAUAGCCGAGAUAUGGCAUUUUUGAUGCCCAUUUUUGGCCUCAAAAACGGACGUCGAAAACGACUUUUUCAGGAUUUUCAAAGUGCUCUUAUUCCCUUAGUUCUGCUCGGAUCCUGUUAUAACCCGAUGUUUUCGUAAUCUAAAUGAUCAGAAUAAGACGCUGGUAUACUUAGUUUGAUUUCGAAAAAAAUCUAUUUUUGGUGAAAAAAUUCGAUACGGGGGGGUAUACCCGAAAAAUGAAAAAUUCCAAACUUUGAAGGUCGAUAUCUCGGCUUCUAUAGGAGCUAUCGGGAAAAUUCCAACGGUUUUGUCUUAGUUUCGUCAUUCUAAAUCCAACGAGACCAUCCGCAAGGUUGUAGCUUUUACGAUAGCCGAGAUAUGGCAUUUUUGAUGCCCAUUUUUGGCCUCAAAAACGGACGUCGAAAACGACUUUUUCAGGAUUUUCAAAGUGCUCUCAUUCCCUUUGUUCUGCUCGGAUCCUGUUAUAACCCGGUGUUUUCGUAAUCUAGAUAAUCAGAAUAAGACGCUGGUAUACUUAGUUUGAUUUCGAAAAAAAUCAAUUUUUGGUGAAAAAAUUCGAUACGGGGGGGUAUACCCGAAAAAUGAAAAAUUCCAAACUUUGAAGGUCGAUAUCUCGGCUUCUAUGGGAGCUAUCGGGAAAAUUCCAACGGUUUUGUCUUAGUUUCGUCAUUCUAAAUCCAACGAGACCAUCCGCAAGGUCGUAGCUUUUACGGUAGCCGAGAUGUGGCAUUUUUGAUGCCCAUUUUUGGCUUCAAAAACGGACGUCGAAAACGACUUUUUCAGGAUUUUCAAAGUGCUCUCAUUCCGUUAGUUCUGCUCGGAUCCUGUUAUAACCCGGUGUUUUCGUAAUCUAGAUGAUCAGAAUAAGACGCUGGUAUACUUAGUUUGAUUUUGAAAAAAAUCAAUUUUUGGUGAAAAAAUUCGAUACGGGGGGGUAUACCCGAAAAAUGAAAAAGUCCAAACUUUGAAGGUCGAUAUCUCGGCUUCUAUGGGAGCUAUCGGGAAAAUUCCAACGGUUUUGUCUUAGUUUUGUCAUUCUAAAUCCAACGAGACCAUCCGCAAGGUUGUAGCUUUUACGAUAGCCGAGAUAUGGCAUUUUUGAUGCCCAUUUUUGGCCUCAAAAACGGACGUCGAAAACGACUUUUUCAGGAUUUUCAAAGUGCUCUUAUUCCCUUAGUUCUGCUCGGAUCCUGUUAUAACCCGAUGUUUUCGUAAUCUAAAUGAUCAGAAUAAGACGCUGGUAUACUUAGUUUGAUUUCGAAAAAAAUCAAUUUUUGGUGAAAAAAUUCGAUACGGGGGGGUAUACCCGAAAAAUGAAAAAUUCCAAACUUUGAAGGUCGAUAUCUCGGUUUCUAUGGGAGCUAUCGGGAAAAUUCCAACGGUUUUGUCUUAGUUUCGUCAUUCUGAAUCCAACGAGACCAUCCGCAAGGUCGUAGCUUUUACGGUAGCCAAGAUGUGGCAUUUUUGAUGCCCAUUUUUGGCUUCAAAAACGGACGUCGAAAACGACUUUUUCAGGAUUUUCAACAAGAUAUAUGUGCGAAUUUGAAAUUUUUAGUGGUAAAGUUGAUCAAGUCACAGAAACAAAAUUGGGUCAUAGAGUUGUCACGAAUCUCACUCGGACAUUGGUGAACAAAAACCACAAAGUUUUUUUUUACUAUUAUUUUAAUAAUCUCUUGUGGAACUAUUCGUAAGAGGCGGAAACAUUUUCCCGAACUCAAAGAAAACAAAGGCGCAUGAAACGUGGAGAUGCCGAUUGGCGUGUUUCAAAAAAUGGAAUAGCUGCACUCAAAUGGAUGGACUGCCGAAGUGUUCUAGUGAAUUAUGGAAACUACUACCAGAAAAAAUAAGAAUGGUUUUUCUGAAGAUUUACCAUGUCCAAAGAUCAUCCUUAAUUACAAUAAUCAUAUGGGAUAUGUUGACCCUUUUGACAUGAUGAAAAGUCUUUAUGAAGUUGACAGAAAGUCUCACAAAUGGUGGCUCUACCUCACUUCGGUGCGCUAAAUGUAGUACCUUAACAGAUGUUCAUAGAACCAUUUGGAAGUGCUCAACUUAAUAGUUGAAGUUGGGUUAUGUCUAAAUAAAGAAAGAAUUGUUUCGCAUUGUUUUACACAAAAUAAUGGACUUUUGAAUCAUUUUAAGUUAUAAAUUAGAAAAAAUAUCUUAAUUUCUUAUUUACUUAGGUCCUAGUGGUUACCAUUAGUAUCCACAUCCUGCAGGAUAAUCCUGUAUAUUUUUUAUUUGUUUAAGACUUAUUUAAACAUAAGCUUGUGCCAAUAAACACGUUUUUAUAAAAAAAUCUUAUUAUUCUCCACUUUCAUAAUUUUCCAAUUAA
rnacentral:lncRNA from 1 species